rnacentral:rRNA from 1 species
GCAAGUCGAGGGGCAGCAUGGGACUUCGGUCCUGAUGGCGACCGGCGCACGGGUGAGUAACGCGUACACGACCUACCUUUAAGUGGGGGAUAGCCUUGGGAAACUAAGAUUAAUACCCCAUAGUAUUGCAAUAUCUAAAAGUUGCAAUUAAAGUUCAGGCGCUUAAAGAUGGGUGUGCGUCCCAUUAGCUAGUUGGUAAGGUAACGGCUUACCAAGGCGACGAUGGGUAGGGGGCGUGAGAGCGUGACC